GCCGAGACUAGAGUCACAUCUGGACACUGCCUGUUGUCCUGGUGUGCUAGAGUACUCGGACAGUAACCACUAAUCUUAUAUUCACUGGCUGUGACCAUUCUUGACUCAGUCAGUCACCAGGUUAGUGACAGGA
rnacentral:snoRNA from 1 species